UACGGAGGGUGCAAGCGUUAAUCGGAAUUACUGGGCGUAAAGCGUGCGUAGGUGGUGAGUUAAGUCUGUCGUGAAAAGCCCCCGGGCUCAACCUGGGAAUGGCGAUGGAUACUGGCUCGCUAGAGUGCGGUAGAGGAGAGUGGAAUUCCCGGUGUAGCAGUGAAAUGCGUAGAGAUCGGGAGGAACAUCAGUUGCGAAGGCGGCUCUCUGGACCAGCACUGACACUGAGGCACGAAAAGCGUGGGGGAGCAAACAGG
rnacentral:rRNA from 1 species